rnacentral:rRNA from 1 species
CCUACGGGAGGCUGCAGUGAGGAAUAUUGGUCAAUGGGCGGAAGCCUGAACCAGCCAAGUCGCGUGAGGGAUUAAGGCCCUGCGGGUCGUAAACCUCUUUUGCCGGGGAGCAGUGGUCCGGACGAGUCCGGGCCGGGAGAGUACCCGGAGAAAAAGCAUCGGCUAACUCCGUGCCAGCAGCCGCGGUAAUAAGGAGGAAGCGAGCGUUAUCCGGAUUUAUUGGGUUUAAAGGGUGCGUAGGCGGGCAUUUAAGCCGGCGGUCAAAUGUCGGGGCUCAACCCCGGCCUGCCGUCGGAACUGGGUGCCUUGAGUGGGCGAGAAGUAUGCGGAAUGCGUGGUGUAGCGGUGAAAUGCAUAGAUAUCACGCAGAACCCCGAUUGCGAAGGCAGCAUACCGGCGCCCGACUGACGCUGAGGCACGAAAGUGCGGGUAUCGAACAGGAUUAGAUACCCCGGUAGUC